AUCCAGCUGGUGAGUCCCAAAUAGGACGAAAUGCGCAUCCUGGAU
rnacentral:hammerhead_ribozyme from 1 species